AACGAACGCUGGCGGCAGGCCUAACACAUGCAAGUCGAGCGAGGACUUCGGUCCUAGCGGCGGACGGGUGUGUAACGCGUGGGAACGUGCCCUUUGCUUCGGAAUAGCCCUGGGAAACUGGGAGUAAUACCGGAUGAGCCCUUUGGGGGAAAGAUUUAUCGGCGAAGGAUCGGCCCGCGUUGGAUUAGGUAGUUGGUGGGGUAAUGGCCUACCAAGCCGACGAUCCAUAGCUGGUUUGAGAGGAUGAUCAGCCACACUGGGACUGAGACACGGCCCAGACUCCUACGGGAGGCAGCAGUGGGGAAUCUUAGACAAUGGGGGAAACCCUGAUCGAGCCAUGCCGCGUGAGCGAUGAAGGCCUUAGGGUUGUAAAGCUCUUUCAGCUGGGAAGAUAAUGACGGUACCAGCAGAAGAAGCCCCGGCUAACUCCGUG
rnacentral:rRNA from 1 species